rnacentral:sRNA from 1 species
GCUGGGCAUGGUGGCACACGCCUGUAAUCCCAGCAGUUUAGGAGGCUGAGACAAGAGGAUCACGGGUUUAAAGCCAGCCUCGGCAAAGGCUAGGCACUAAGUAACUCAGUGAGACCCUGUCUCUA